rnacentral:rRNA from 1 species
CACCAGCCCCUCGAGUGGUGGGGAUGAUUAUUUGGCCUAAAGCGUCCGUAGCCGGCUGUACAAGUCUCCCGUUAAACUCAACGUCUCAAGCGUUGGCAUGCGAGAGAUACUGUAUAGCUAGAGGGUGGGAGAGGUCAGCGGUAUUCCUGGGGUAGGGGCGAAAUCCUUUGAUCCCAGGAGGACCGCCAGUGGCGAAGGCUGCUGACUAGAACACGCCUGACGGUCAGGGACGAAAGCUGGGGUAGCGAACCGGAUUAGAUACCCGGGUAGUCCCAGCCGUAAACGAUGCAUGCUAGGUGUUGGGUCGGCCACGCGCCGCCUCAGUGCCGCAGGGAAGCCGUUAAGCAUGCCGCCUGGGGAGUACGGCCGCAAGGCUGAAACUUAAGGAAUUGGCGGGGAGCACCACCAGGCGUGAAGCCUGCGGUUU